GUGCCCGAGCAGCAGAACGAUUGCAACAAGUGUCGUAAUCCAGGCGCUACCCGCCUCAUCCCGAUAAAUAAGAGAUUUUUAUUAAUCGUCGUUGACCUUUGCGCCGCAGAAGGAGCCGACUAUACACAUUAUAAAUCUUGGGACACCGUUCAACAGACACUCGGGAUCUGGCGCAGAACCGGACGUUCUGGAGCUGUACCUGCCAGCGGUGAGAGCGCGUCGUGAGACGACGACGAGAGCCAACGAGACUGCCGCGGCUGCCAACGUCGAUUGCAAGACCGAUCGAGACUGCCCGGCGAAAAACAAAUGCGACGUCAAGCUCCAAAAGUGCUCGCGAGAUAUAAAGAGUAGCGUUCGCAAGGGACCGAUGCUGCUGUCUACGAAAAAAACUGCACCUAUAACUCCUACCAAAGUGUAAAUGGAAAUUAACGAAGCAACUUUUGAGGAGAAUUAAUAAUAUCUCGUUUAUUUCACUGUAUUACGUAAAUUAUCGCGUGUUUACCUUUGUUUUAAUAAAAAAAUUAAUUAGUAACAAUACUUAUGUAUUUAAAUGGGUUAAAUAAUUUUUGCAAUGUAGUAUAGUGAUUUUUGUGUGUAAACAUUUUGUUCUAUAACUUCAGUUAUUUUUGACACACAACUUUGCAAGAUAAGUGCAUCAUGUGGUAUUUUUUAGAAUGGUAAAAUUAUUUCGAGAAUUCAGUAUAUUUGAUGUAGAGUGACUUCGGCAAUCGGCAUAAAAUAAUUAAAUAAUCAUAUAUAUUUGAAUGAAUUUGCUUGUUUUUCAUUAAUAAACCAAUCAAACAUCCGUGGUGCAUAAUUCGAAUACAAUAGAAAUGAAAAGCCGAGCAUUUUAAAUAGAAAAAAUGCACAGUUUUCAACUCGCUGCAUGAGCCUAAAAAAAGAGUAUAGAUAUGAAAAUCUCGCAUUUUAAUUUUAGAACAACAAUAAAAAAGAUACUUUCUGAUAUCGAUUGGUUGUGAGAAGAGGAACAGAGCGUUUAGUUGGGAGUUUUUAUGCGCCACACGCGAUCCUCCCUAGAAGUCCAACAGGUAAAAAUUUUUUUAUCAUCGGUCUCGUUUCUCUUAACAGCAAUAAUCAUUCCGUCAUCAAGACCGUCCCAAUAUUUCACUAUUGCAUGUGUUUGAAAAAUUUAGAGUCGCGAUAUUAUAGGGCGAGGUUUCGCGCACCAGUCACAUAAGUAAUUUUUGAAAACUUCGUGGAAUAUUUUUCUAUGCUUGGAUAAAUGUGACUCAUUUUCGAAUUGCCUCUUGCACUUAUGGCAUGAGAAAUUUUUUCGAUCUUUGUGUACUAUUUUUUGGUGCGUAAACCAACUUGAUUUAUUCACAAAUCUUUUCUCGUAUCUGUCACAUGCCAAAUCUUUUUGAUCAUUGUGAAUUGUGUCUUGGUGCGCUAUCAUGCUUGAUUCCAGUAUAAAUAUCUCCUGACAAAUAUCACACACGUGUUUUGUGUCGUGUAAAACUAUAGAGUCCUGUUCGCUUAAAUUACUUUCCAAAACAAAUUCCUCGGAAUAUUUCUCAUUUUCAUCCAUUUUGGCGUCUGAAUUAAAUGAUUGAUCUCUCUAUUUAGUACCACGAAAAUUGAAUGAGUAAAAUUUAUCUUAUGGUAUGAUGACUUGU